rnacentral:sRNA from 1 species
CUCAUCACAACAAACCCAGAUCUGUGUCCAGCAGUCCUGAUCCAACCAGAGUAUUCGUGCUCUGGUUGUGUUUCGGUUGUUAUUGCUGGACAGCUCGACGAUUCAUGGAGCCAUCAAGGAUUACCCCUCAAAUGGUGUCAAUUUCCGGUCGACAGAUCUCAGAGAGAACCUCAGCGGCCCAGUUUUUCCUUUUUUGCCUUGUGUGAAAGGGAAUUUAACACUCUGCCUUGAGCUCCCUCCCCGUUUCGACGGGCUGGUGAAUUCGGUAAGGUGGCUGGGUUCC